AUGCCUUCCUGGAACGACGAGGAAACGAGCUCGGAGGAGGAGUGCGAGGUCGUCAGCAUGGACAUGGGACUUAUGGAGGAACCAGACACCAUUGUGGAGCCCCUUUUCUGUGGCCAACUUGAGCUUGUUCAUCCCAAGUGCCUGCACCAAAUGAGGCCUAUUAAGCGUGUUGCUUUUGAAGGGCCUGAAAAUGGUGUGAAUUGUGGUGUUGUAGAGUGGGUUGACGGGCCUUGGCCUCCCGUUCUUCAGAGAUGUUUGUGCAAGCUAUGGGAAAUGUUCCAUGAGCAGAACCUAGGAAGGGUACUUGACAAGGAGAAGUUUGAGAAGGAGUUGGCCAAGCUUAAGAGUGAACAUGAAAGGGAGUUGGCCAAGCUUAAGACUGAAAAUGACAAGCUUUGCAUUGAGUACACCAAGCUUGUUGAUGACGUAUCCAAGAUGUUUGAUUGGCAGGAUGGUAGGGUGGACAAGAAGGUGUACCAGAAACAAGUGGAGGAGGAAGAACUUGAGAAGAAGAAGAAGGAGCUAGAGGAGAAAGUUAUGUUGGAGGUGCAGAUGGAAAAGCUUAAACUUACCAAGAAGGCUAUGAAGGAUGUUGAAGUUGACAGAGAUGUUCUUAAGAAGGAGAAGGCAAAGCUUGAGCUAGUUGUUGCCGAGCUGCUGAAAGAUGGGUAUGGCAGCAAGGACAAGUUAGAGCAAAUCAAGGCCAUCCUUGAGUCAUGA
rnacentral:rRNA from 1 species